CAGCAGCCGCGGGAAUACGAAGGGUGCAAGCGUUAAUCGGAAUUACUGGGCGUAAAGCGCGCGUAGGUGGUUCAUUAAGUUGGAUGUGAAAGCCCUGGGCUCAACCUGGGAACUGCAUCCAAAACUGGUGAGCUAGAGUACGGUAGAGGGUAGUGGAAUUUCCUGUGUAGCGGUGAAAUGCGUAGAUAUAGGAAGGAACACCAGUGGCGAAGGCGACUACCUGGACUGAUACUGACACUGAGGUGCGAAAGCGUGGGGAGCAAAUAGGAUUAGAUACCCCGGUAGUCCCUGUCUCUUAUAC
rnacentral:rRNA from 1 species